GGUAAAAUAAUUUAAUGGUAUGACUUAAAGUUAAAAUUUUUAAYUUUAAAUAAUAARUAAAAAUAAUUAACUUAUUUUUAAGUUCAAAUCUUCAUUUUACCU
rnacentral:tRNA from 1 species